CAGAUUGAACGCUGGCGGCAGGCUUAACACAUGCAAGUCGAACGGUAACGGGGAGCAGCUUGCUGCUCUGCCGACGAGUGGCGGACGGGUGAGUACAGCCUGGGGAUCUGCCUGAUGGAGGGGGACAACCACUGGAAACGGUGGCCUAAUACCGCGUAAAGUCGAGAGACCAAAGUGGGGGACCUUAGGGCCUCACGCCAUCAGAUGAACCCAGGUGGGAUUAGCUAGUAGGUGAGGUAAGGGCUNACCUAGGCGACGAUCUCUAGCUGGUCUGAGAGGAUGACCAGCCACACUGGAACUGAGACACGGUCCAGACUCCUACGGGAGGCAGCAGUGGGGAAUAUUGCGCAAUGGGGGGAACCCUGACGCAGCCAUGCCGCGUGUAUGAAGAAGGCCUUCGGGUUGUAAAGUACUUUCGGUAAUGAGAAAGGGUCAGAUUAAUAAAAUGGUCUGGCAUUGAUAUUAGUUACAGAAGAAGCACCGGNUAACUCCGUGCCAGCAGCCGCGGUAAUACGGGGGGUGCAAGCGUUAAUCGGAAUGACUGGGCGUAAAGGGCAUGUAGGCGGUUAAUUAAGUUGNAUGUGAGAGCCCNGGGCUCAACCUGGGAACAGCAUACAAAACUGGUUAGCUAGAGUACUGUAGAGGAAGGUAGAAUUCCACGUGUAGCGGNGAAAUGCGUAGAGAUGUGGAGGAAUACCGGUGGCGAAGGCGGCCUUCUGGGCAGUAACUGACGCUGAGAUGCGAAAGCGUGGGGAGCAAACAGGAUUAGAUACCCUGGUAGUCCACGCUGUAAACGAUGUCGAUUUGGAGGUUGUGGUCAUGAACUGUGGCUUCCGAAGCUAACGCAGAUAAAUCGACCGCCUGGGGAGUACGGCCGCAAGGUCAAAACUCAAAUGAAUUGACGGGGGCCCGCACAAGCGGUGGAGCAUGUGGUUUAAUUCGAUGCAACGCGAAGAACCUUACCUGGUCUUGACAUCCAUAGAAUUCGUCAGAGAUGGUGAAGUGCCUUCGGGAGCUAUGAGACAGGUGCUGCAUGGCUGUCGUCAGCUCGUGUUGUGAAAUGUUGGGUUAAGUCCCGCAACGAGCGCAGCCCUUAUACUUUGUUACCAGCAUGUAAUGGUGGGGACUCAAGGUAGACUGCCGGUGAUAAACUGGAGGAAGGUGGGGACGAUGUCAAGUCAUCAUGGCCCUUACGACCAGGGCUACACACGUGCUACAAUGGCGCAUACAGAGGGAGGCGAAGGUGCGAACUGGAGCGGAUCUCANAAAGUGCGUCUAAGUCCGGAUUGGAGUCUGCAACUCGACUNCAUGAAGUCGGAAUCGCUAGUAAUCGCAAAUCAGAAUGUUGCGGUGAAUACGUUCCCGGGCCUUG
rnacentral:rRNA from 1 species